GACAGAGGGUGCGAACGUUGCUCGGAAUUACUGGGCGUAAAGCGUGCGCAGGCGGUUUUGUAAGUCUGUCGUGAAAUCCCCGGGCUCAACCUGGGAAUGGCGAUGGAGACUGCAAGGCUAGAGUUUGGCAGAGGGGGGUAGAAUUCCACGUGUAGCAGUGAAAUGCGUAGAUAUGUGGAGGAACACCGAUGGCGAAGGCAGCCCCCUGGGUCAAAACUGACGCUCAUGCACGAAAGCGUGGGGAGCAAACAGG
rnacentral:rRNA from 1 species